rnacentral:tRNA from 1 species
GUCAGGAUGGCCGAGUGGUCUAAGGCGCCAGACUCAAGGCUCUGUCUUCCCCUCUGCUGGGUGUUCUGGUCUCUGUAUAGAGGCGUGGGUUCAAAUCCCACUUCUGACA